rnacentral:rRNA from 1 species
AUACGGAGGGUGCAAGCGUUAUUCGGAAUCACUGGGCGUAAAGGACGCGUAGGCGGGUUGGCAAGUCAGAUGUGAAAUCCUACAGCUUAACUGUAGAACUGCAUUUGAAACUGCUAACCUAGAGUAUGGGAGGGGGAGAUGGAAUUAGUGGUGUAGGGGUAAAAUCCGUAGAUAUCACUAGGAAUACCGAAAGCGAAGGCGAUCUCCUGGAACAUAACUGACGCUAAGGCGUGUAAGCGUGGGGAGCGAACAGGAUUAGAAACCCUUGUAGUCC